rnacentral:rRNA from 1 species
GAUGAACGCUGGCGGCGUGCCUAAUACAUGCAAGUCGAGCGAACAGACGAGGAGCUUGCUCCUCUGACGUUAGCGGCGGACGGGUGAGUAACACGUGGAUAACCUACCUAUAAGACUGGGAUAACUUCGGGAAACCGGAGCUAAUACCGGAUAAUAUAUUGAACCGCAUGGUUCAAUAGUGAAAGACGGUUUUGCUGUCACUUAUAGAUGGAUCCGCGCCGCAUUAGCUAGUUGGUAAGGUAACGGCUUACCAAGGCAACGAUGCGUAUCCGACCUGAGAGGGUGAUCGGCCACACUGGAACUGAGACACGGUCCAGACUCCUACGGGAGGCAGCAGUAGGGAAUCUUCCGCAAUGGGCGAAAGCUUGACGGAGCAACGCCGCGUGAGGGAUGACGGUCUCAGGAUCGUAAAACUCUGUUAUUAGGGAGGAACAAAUGUGUAAGUAACUAUGCACGUCUUGACGGUACCUAAACAGAAAGCCACGGCUAACUACGUG